rnacentral:lncRNA from 1 species
GCUGCUGAGUAGAAGGCCCUUUGGUGUUUGUGUGGAAUAUUCUAUAGGUAUCUCCUAAGUCCAUUUGAUGGCUGAUAACCAUCUAAUUCUCGGGGUUCUGUCUGCUGUCUGUCUAGGUGAAUUGUCUAUUGGAGAAACUGGAACGAACUGGGAAAUUGUACUCACAUAGAAUGAACAGAAUAGUAGACUGAGAUCUCUACAUGAAGAAGAAGGGCAGAAGGAGGGCUGGAAGACAGAUGUGGGACAUGUGCUCCUGUGGGAUCUGUCCCAGGACCUGGCCCAUCCUAAGAAAAAAUUCUGACACCAUGGAAGGA